UUCAGUCAUUAUCUCUGUGUUGUUCUCUGUAGCUUCGUUCGUACGUUGUGUCAUGUCACUGUGUCACAUAUAUAUGGUGUAAAUGACCAUAAAAGCUUGACAUGACUUGGCGCCCUCUGCUGCUGUUGUUGUGUUAUUACACCUCAUUCUCUCACCACCUCAUUGCUCAGUUUGCUUCUAAACCUUUUUAUCACAUGAAUUUUUUUUCUUUAUUUGAUUUACGGAGGAAGAUUUCUGAAUGAUGUCACAUCUGUACUCUGUGAGCUGAAGUAGGAAACACACCUCAGUGUUUAGCAGUGAGCUAGUGCUGAGUUACUGACCAUACUCUCUCUGUGUGUGUGUGUGUGUGUGUGUGUGUGUGUGUGUGUGUGUGUGUGUGUGUGUGUGUGUGUGUGUGUGUGUGUGUGUGUGUGUGUGUGUGUGUGUGUGUGUGUGUGUGUGUGUGUGUGUGUGUGUGUGUGUGUAUGGAAUAAACAGAACUGGGAGGAGUCAGGAGAAGUCUAAUGAGAACACACGCACACACAUAUACACACACA